rnacentral:lncRNA from 1 species
UAUUUAUGUCUGGACAUUUGCAUGUCUGGUUUGUGUUUGGUUUUAUUUUGGUUUUGUUUCUCCUUUCAGAAAUAGCUCCCAAAGCACAGCCCAAUUCAGUAGCUGCCGCUUGUACAAUACAGUGCGGAUAGACUGCGGGUCGUUGGGGUAGGUCGCGUUAUCUCUUCGUCUCCCUGGACUCCUAAUGAGGGUAAUGAUGUUCUUUCUCCUCGGCACCAAUCAGCAGGCGAUAUCCCUGCACAAAGCCUGCCUCGCUGCCCUCGGAGCUGUUCGUCUCUGGAACAGCGAGUUACGAGAGUCUCGAGUCUCCAAGGCGCAGGGAGGGCGCGCUUUGCCGUGCUAUACCUCAGCUCUUAAAGCAAAAUGGACACUGGUAGUAGGCAAAGCAGGAAGGAGGCAGAGCAGGGGCAGUGAUUUUGAGAACAUUUUCUCCAUAUUGCUGCUCUUGAAUAAUUCCAUUCCCGCAUCCUUAAGCGUGGAGCAAGCGAGGCCGCAGUUGUACGCGUGGGAUGAAAGGUCAGUGCGGCCUUUUGAUUUGUACCCUGCAGUAGCACAGCUACACGUGGGCUGCCAAGCAAACGCCUCUUCCGUCUGCGUGCACUUAGUGGUCACAUCUGUGAACACCACCAGAUCGUCCAAUUACUUGGGGUCCUUUAACCCCCCCUCCUGUUGGCAAAAUAGGGCUAUGAAAAAGCAUGCAUAAGCAGAUGGUUAGCAUGCAGGCAGGCUCCCUAAUAAGAUGAACCAGGUCAUAACAUAGAUUUGAAUUCACUUUAUUCUCGUUGCAAAUAAUUUUAUCACAAAAUAAAAAGCUAAGGAUUUUUUUUUCUUCUGUUGCC